rnacentral:rRNA from 1 species
GACGAACGCUGGCGGCGUGCUUAACACAUGCCAGUCGAACGGAAAGGCCCUGCUUUUGUGGGGUGCUCGAGUGGCGAACGGGUGAGUAACACGUGAGUAACCUGCCCUUGACUUUGGGAUAACUUCAGGAAACUGGGGCUAAUACCGGAUAGGAGCUCCUGCUGCAUGGUGGGGGUUGGAAAGUUUCGGCGGUUGGGGAUGGACUCGCGGCUUAUCAGCUUGUUGGUGGGGUAGUGGCUUACCAAGGCUUUGACGGGUAGCCGGCCUGAGAGGGUGACCGGCCACAUUGGGACUGAGAUACGGCCCAGACUCCUACGGGAGGCAGCAGUGGGGAAUAUUGCACAAUGGGCGGAAGCCUGAUGCAGCAACGCCGCGUGCGGGAUGACGGCCUGCGGGUUGUAAACCGCUUUCGCCUGUGACGAAGCGGGAGUGACGGUAAUGGGUAAAGAAGCACCGGCUAACUACGUG